CGAAGGGUGCAAGCGUUACUCGGAAUUACUGGGCGUAAAGCGUGCGUAGGUGGUUUGUUAAGUCUGUCGUGAAAUCCCCGGGCUCAACCUGGGAAUGGCGAUGGAUACUGGCAAGCUAGAGUGAGGUAGAGGAGAGUGGAAUUCCCGGUGUAGCAGUGAAAUGCGUAGAGAUCGGGAGGAACAUCAGUUGCGAAGGCGGCUCUCUGGACCAUCACUGACACUGAGGCACGAAAGCGUGGGGAGCAAACAGGAUUAGAUACCCUGGUAGUCCACGCCCUAAACGAUGCGAACUGGACGUUGGGCUCAAUUAGGAGCUCAGUGUCGAAGCUAACGCGUUAAGUUCGCCGCCUGGGGAUACGGUCGCAAGACUG
rnacentral:rRNA from 1 species